rnacentral:lncRNA from 7 species
AAACACAAUUCACGGGCAGCAUUGCACAACUGCUCCUCUGGUAUUGCCGAGAGCACUGAGUCUCAUCCUGAAGGGCUGUGACAGAUCUUAUGAAAGGACAAGGAAGAAGGUGAAAGCAUGAUCUGCACAUGCUCAGCUCUACAUGGACCUAUUAACUGACAACUUUUUCACAGAAGCAAAGGUAGAAAGCGGGUGUUGGAAUGUUCUAUUGGAAGACACAUUGGGAUAAUUACCUCCACGAGAAAACAAGCAAACAAGAACAGUCCUCACAGAAAAGAAUAGUAAUUAAUAAAAAACUAACCAUUAUGAACAAAUUCUAAUUUCUCCAUGCACAAAACAAGUCCCGCUGUUUUUCUAAGCUUGUAACUAUGGAACUGAAGGCUCUCUCAUCUUCUUCAUACAUGUUUUGGAUCAGCAGUGCACCCCUGCACCAGAAACCAGUGUAUGGAAAGCCAGUAAAUUAUUCAGUCACAAAAGAACAGAAACCAUGCAUUAUGUUAUGAUUAGUUUGUGGUUUUAAACAAAGACAUAUUAUUUUUCAUCAAAAAUGAUCUUUAAAAAGAAGCUGUUUUAUUCUAGUAUUUCAAAAGUGACAGUAUUAAAUUUUGUGGGAAGGAGGGAGAGAAAUUCUCUGAAGACAAAGACCACGAAAGCUAAUGGAUAUUAAAAUAGAUAUAACUGUAAAGUACCUACCAUAUGUAAUAAAUGCAAAUUUUAUU